rnacentral:rRNA from 1 species
AACGUAGGUUCCGAGCGUUAUCCGGAUUUACUGGGCGUAAAGCGCGUUCAGGCGGUUUGGCAAGUCGGGCAUGAAAUCCCUCGGCUUAACCGGGGAACUGCGUCUGAUACUGGAUGGCUUGAGGUUGGGAGAGGGAUGCGGAAUUCCAGGUGUAGCGGUGAAAUGCGUAGAUAUCUGGAGGAACACCGGUGGCGAAGGCGGCAUCCUGGACCAAUUCUGACGCUGAGGAGCGAAAGCCAGGGGAGCAAACGGG